GUUGACGAUGAUGAUAAUGUGAUCCCAGCUCAUUAUGAAACCUUUUACAUUUGUUGUACUAGGUUGGGGAAUAGAAUUUUUCCACAUUUAUCUGAGACUGAAA
rfam:Lupinus angustifolius cultivar Tanjil chromosome LG02, whole genome shotgun sequence.